GUUUGGAACCAGAGUUUGAUAAUGUUAUUGGGGCUGGACAGUGCUUGAGUUGAAUGGUAUAAUGUUAUUUUCGUUUUUUGCACAAGAGCUUGAAGAAAUGGAAGAUUGGGUUGAGUUGAAGUAGUAGUAGUGUGGGUUUAUUGUCUUGAAUGGAGUUGAACUUUGAAAUGGGGUCUCUUGGGUGUGUGUUUUCGGUGUGAGGAAGAAGAAAGAGNUGGAGGAGUGUGUUGGAGAGUAAGAAAACCGAAAUGGACAAGGAAAAGAAGAGAGAGGAGUGCAUUUAAGUUUUUACCACUUUUGGGCAAACAAAAAAAGAUGCUUCUUGCCAUCCUAGGAAUGUUUCCCUUUUAAGCUUUUCUUUUGUCUCUUGUUAGCUUCUAUUCUGCCGAGAAUUGUAUUUGCAUGGGAAGUCUUUGGUUGUUUAUUUUCAUUUGACUUUGCUUACAUGGCACAUUGGUUAGACCAUCCAAGUAUAUUCCAUUUGCACAUUGGUUUUUGAAGCAACUUUUGUAGAAGUUCCUUGCAUUGCUCACGUGAAUUGUAUGGCUUGUUGUGUGCAUUCAGAAUUUU
rnacentral:lncRNA from 1 species